AACGAACGCUGGCGGCAGGCCUAACACAUGCAAGUCGAGCGAGACCUUCGGGUCUAGCGGCGGACGGGUUAGUAACGCGUGGGAACGUGCCCUUCUCUGCGGAAUAGCCACUGGAAACGGUGAGUAAUACCGCAUACGCCCUUCGGGGGAAAGAUUUAUCGGAGAAGGAUCGGCCCGCGUUAGAUUAGAUAGUUGGUGGGGUAACGGCCUACCAAGUCUACGAUCUAUAGCUGGGUUUUAGAGGAUGAUCAGCAACACUGGGACUGAGACACGGCCCAGACUCCUACGGGAGGCAGCAGUGGGGAAUCUUAGACAAUGGGCGCAAGCCUGAUCUAGCCAUGCCGCGUGUGUGAUGAAGGUCUUAGGAUCGUAAAGCACUUUCGCCAGGGAUGAUAAUGACAGUACCUGGUAAAGAAACCCCGGCUAACUCCGUG
rnacentral:rRNA from 1 species